AAAUUUCGUUUUUUUUUUUAAAGUUGAGAUCCAUCAGUUGGGUUUUUGUUUUUGUUCGUUUCCUCGGAUUGAUUCGCGGGUUGGGGGUGGGCGGAAGUUGGCGUUUCAGUAGUGACUGUCUGUGUGGUGUGCAGACGACGAGGAUUCGGUUGGAUUGACGACGCUGGUGUGGGACGUGGUUGAGAGAGUGGCCGUCAGCAGGGAUUUGCUGGACGCCCGGUUGGCGGCCGAGGUGCAAUUGCCCUGGCGUCCGUACUU